rnacentral:rRNA from 1 species
UGAGGAAUAUUGGUCAAUGGGCGAGAGCCUGAACCAGCCAAGUAGCGUGCAGGAUGACGGCCCUAUGGGUUGUAAACCGCUCUUAUAUGGGGAUAAAGUGGGGAACGUGUUCCCUUUUGCAGGCACCAUAUGAAUAAGGACCGGCUAAUUCCGUGCCAGCAUCCGCGGUAAUACGGAAGGCUCGGGCGUUAUCCGGAUUUAUUGGGUUUAAAGGGAGCGUAGGCCGUUUGGUAAGCGUGUUGUGAAAUGUAGGAGCUCAACUUCUUGAUUGCAGCGCGAACUGUCAGACUUGAGUGCGCACAACGUAGGCGGAAUUCAUGGUGUAGCGGUGAAAUGCUUAGAUAUCAUGAAGAACUCCGAUUGCGAAGGCAGCUUACGGGAGCGAAACUGACGCUGAAGCUCGAAGGUGCGGGUAUCGAACAGG